GUAGGGAAUAUUGCGCAAUGGGGGAAACCCUGACGCAGCGACGCCGCGUGAGUGAUGAAGGCCUUCGGGUCGUAAAGCUCUGUUGCAGGGGAAUAAAAAAAUGAAGGUACCCUGUGAGGAAGGAUCGGCUAACUUCGUGCCAGCAGCAGCGGUAAGACGAGGGAUCCUAGCGUUGCUCGGAAUCAUUGGGCGUAAAGAGGGCGUAGGUGGCUUGGUAAGUCAGGUGUGAAAGAACAGGGCUCAACCCUGGAAGUGCAUUGGAUACUGCUGAGCUUGAGUGUCGGAGAGGUUACCGGAAUACCUGGUGUAGUGGUGAAAUACGUAGAUAUCAGGUGGAACACCGGAGGCGAAGGCGGGUAACUGGACGAACACUGACACUGAGGCCCGAAAGCGUGGGGAUCAAACAGGAUUAGAUACCCGAGUAGUCC
rnacentral:rRNA from 1 species